rnacentral:misc_RNA from 1 species
CGGCUUCCAAUCAUGGACAGAUGGUAAAGUUCUUUCCCACCACAAGAUUAACUUUGAAGCAAUUUACUAUAUCAGAGUCCUUUUCCUCUCUUUUCAAUGUUACAGCACAAAAAGAAGAAACUGAUUUCAUAGACCUUAACAUAAGUUUUUUACGCCUAACCACCCAAUUUACCUUCUACUUAUGGAAACUUGAUUAUCUGACAUGACAGAUUUAAGAUUUAAAUUCUACUAGAUUUUAUAGUUGCUUUACUAAUUUUACACAAGUUUAAAAUGCCCUGUGAGGAUUUUAAUAGGUUAUUGCUCUUGUUCUUUGCAAAUUUCAUGAUGGCAGAAAUACAUGUAUGUCAGAACUCCAAACAAGUUGUCCCCUAGGGCCUAGUGUUGUCCCAUUCAAAUGUUCUGUAUAGAUAGUGUG